rnacentral:sRNA from 1 species
AGUCAAGGUCCGGAGUCUAUGGGUUACCAAGCAAACCCUCCCAUAGGCAUCAACUUGACCUGUC